rnacentral:rRNA from 1 species
UACGGGGGAGCAAGCGUUGUUCGGAUUUACUGGGCGUAAAGGGCGCGUAGGCGGUCAGCACAAGUCAAGUUGUGGAAAUCUCCGGGCUUAACUCGGAAAGGUCAACCGAUACUGCGGGGCAGAGUGGCAGAAGGGGCAAACUGGAAUUCGUCGGUGUAGCGGAUGAAAUGCGUAGAUAUCGAGAGGAACACCUGCGGCGAAGGCGG